UACGGGGGGGGCAAGCGUUGUUCGGAAUUACUGGGCGUAAAGGGCUCGUAGGCGGCCAACUAAGUCAUACGUGAAAUCCCUCGGCUUAACCGGGGAACUGCGUCUGAUACUGGAUGGCUUGAGUUCGGGAGAGGGAUGCGGAAUUCCAGGUGUAGCGGUGAAAUGCGUAGAUAUCUGGAGGAGCACCGGUGGCGAAGGCGGUUCUCUGGGCAUUACCUGACGCUGAGGAGCGAAAGUGUGGGGAGCGAACAGG
rnacentral:rRNA from 1 species